rnacentral:rRNA from 1 species
GACGUAGGGCGCGAGCGUUGUCCGGAUUUAUUGGGCGUAAAGAGCUCGUAGGCGGCUCGUUGCGUCGGCUGUGAAAACCCACAGCUUAACUGUGGGCCUGCAGCCGAUACGGGCGAGCUAGAGUUCGGUAGGGGAGACUGGAAUUCCUGGUGUAGCGGUGAAAUGCGCAGAUAUCAGGAAGAACACCCGUGGCUAAGGCGGCUCUCUAGUACGGUACUGACGCUGAGACGCGAAAGCGUGGGGAGCGAACAGG